AUCUGUCAAAAUUGUUCUGUCAGAGGAGACUUGAGGAGUCUGUCUUGGGUUCAGGGGCUGAUUGACACAGGUGAAAUGAUGUUUUGAUAUAGCAAAUGCAAGAAAGGACCCAUGAUGAAGGAGUAUGAAUAAGACCCUACAGACAGUGGGAGAAAAGCCUUGAACAUCGGUUUGAUUUGCUCCACCUCGCUAUUCUUUGCUAACAGCAUGCAUGUAUUGGUUCAUCUUAUAUAGCAUCGUUGAACUUCACUUGUGGUAAUGCUGCCAUUGAGAAACUCACCCAAGAACUGCUGGUGAGGUUCCUGGGGCAGCUUGCUGCUUCUGCAGCCUCACCUCAGGCCGGUUAGUGAGC
rnacentral:lncRNA from 1 species